rnacentral:lncRNA from 7 species
CUGCUAGCCGCAACAGAUUCUUCCCCUUCAAAUAGCUGGGAUCGGACCUCUCGCUUUGCCUCGACCGUCUGUUGGGCGCUGGGCGUCAUCGCCACCAUUGGGGUAGUCACACCGAACUCCAUCAAAGAGAGAGAAAGGACCAAGCUCGCCGGUGACCUUCGGGUUCGCCGCUGGUGCAAUCGACGUCGGUGCGCGGGGGGGAACACCUGCUCGGCAUCGUCGCAAUCCACCAUGUGUCGUGGUCAAAGUCCUCUAUGCCAUUAUUCUUGGGUAAGCCCUCUGAAUUAGCUCGAGUUAAUCUCUGUGUCGCGUUACUGUGCUCGACGGUAAUGGGUUGUGUGCUGAGUCGGCCUCGGGCACCUCCAGGUCGCCAAUAGACUCGCCAUC